UACGUAGGGCGCAAGCGUUGUCCGGAAUUAUUGGGCGUAAAGAGCUCGUAGGCGGUCUGUCGCGUCGGCUGUGAAAGCCCGGGGCUCAACCCCGGGUCUGCAGUCGAUACGGGCAGGCUAGAGUGCGGUAGGGGAGACUGGAAUUCCUGGUGUAGCGGUGAAAUGCGCAGAUAUCAGGAGGAACACCGGUGGCGAAGGCGGGUCUCUGGGCCGUAACUGACGCUGAGACGCGAAAGCGUGGGGAGCGAACAGG
rnacentral:rRNA from 1 species